GAUGAACGCUGGCGGCGUGCCUAACACAUGCAUGUCGAGCGAUUUACUUCUGUAAAGAGCGGCGGACGGGUGAGUAACGCGUGGGUAACCUGCCCUGUACACACGGAUAACAUACCGAAAGGUAUGCUAAUACGAGAUAAUAUACUUUUAUCGCAUGGUAGAAGUAUCAAAGCUUUUGCGGUACAGGAUGGACCCGCGUCUGAUUAGCUAGUUGGUAAGGUAACGGCUUACCAAGGCGACGAUCAGUAGCCGACCUGAGAGGGUGAUCGGCCACAUUGGAACUGAGACACGGUCCAAACUCCUACGGGAGGCAGCAGUGGGGAAUAUUGCACAAUGGGCGAAAGCCUGAUGCAGCAACGCCGCGUGAGCGAUGAAGGCCUUCGGGUCGUAAAGCUCUGACCUCAAGGAAGAUAAUGACGGUACUUGAGGAGGAAGCCCCGGCUAACUACGUGCCAGCAGCCGCCGUAA
rnacentral:rRNA from 1 species